rnacentral:misc_RNA from 1 species
UCCAACUUUUAGCUGGCAGUAUCGCUAGGGUGCACCCUUGCGGGUUAGCAACUAGCAAAAGGGGUUGCGCUCGUUCAAGGACUUAACCUUACAUCUCACGACACGAGCUGACGACAACCAUGCAGCACCUGUGGAUGAGUCUCCACCUUGCGGUGGAGAGGGAGCCAGUUUCUUGGCUCUUACUCAAGCAUGUCAAGCCCAGGUAAGGUUCUUCGCGUAGCGUCGAAUUAAACCACAUACCUCGCUGCUUGUGCGGGCCCCCGUCAAUUCCUUUGAGUUUUAGCCUUGCGGCCGUAGUCCCCAGGUGGGAUACUUAACGCGUUAGCUCCGGCACUGAGGGCAACCCCCCAACACCAAGUAUCCAUCGUUUAGGGCGUGGACUAC